UGUUAGAGCUUUUACUAAUACUGAUUAUAAUUUCAUCACUACUCUGAACCGGAGUCUGAAGAACUAAACCCCUAAAUUAUUUGAACUAAAAAAACCCUAACUUCUCUAAAUUCUUCUCAAAAUAAUUCCAAAACUCCAAAACUUUACGCAAAUGAGAACGUCGGAUCCUGCUUUUCCCGUUCGGCACACCUCGUGCUGUUUAGAUAUCAAUGGGCACAAGACGGAUAUUAUCAUAAGCAGCUACGAAGAUCAUAUUCUCGUCAUGGCAACUCAGAUAGGAAGCAUGGGGACUAUAUUGCAAGCUAGGAAAGAGGGAGGAGGCGUUUCAAUUGAUCCAACUUACAGCGUCUCUGUAGUAUUCGGUAAACGAGACGAGCCCAUGCUCGUCGCUUGUGCUCGACAGUUGAUUGAACAUAUAAGCAACUCUGGAUCAUCGAAAGCAUUAGUCCUGUCCCUUGGUCUGAGAGAUCAUUCAUUGGGGAUAUUGAAGACCAUAGUUGCAGCUGUAACUGAGAAACUUGCUGAGGUAAUUUAACUUGAUUAUCGUGCCAUAUUGUCCUUGUUCGUUGGAAGUCUGCGCGAAUAAAGACCCUCAGUUUUGCAUGUAUCCCGUCGUGUAUGACAUGAAUACUAUCUUCAUUUACAUUUUUCACUUCUAAGUUCUACCCAGAAAAAGUAUGUAAUAUCUGCACAGAAUUUUAUUUGGAAGCUGGAAAUUGCUAAUUGAUCUACAAAAAAACUUAAUUACAAUGCUUGAACACAAAUGGAGUGAUGUCUUAACUUAAAAACAGCAGCAACACACACAGUGACACAUAGCAAACAAAUAACUAGAUCAAACUCACAGCGAACAUGAAACCUCAGCAGCAUUACACCAAAAAUUCAUUGAAAGUAAUAUAUACAGAGGAAAAAUUGCCAAGAGAAAAACAGAGGAUAAUUCAUGCGCUUCCCUUCUUUUCCUUGUCUCUCUCACUAUUCUGGUAUCCUGUCAUCUUUCUUUAGCAUCACAAAUAGUUCUCGUUCCAACUACAAAUUAUCCAACUAGAACAUGUGAGUUCUCAUCGCUACGUGAUAUUUAAACAGGUUUAGGUUUGGGGCAAUUUUGUCCUUUCUACGAAGAACCAAAGACGAACCUGAGUGUUCUUGGCCUUGAGUCUCUGUAGUUCUUCGACCAUACCUCCGACACUGAUAUUCAAAAAUUAAUUCAGCGUGAAACAGCAAAACAUCGUUACAAUCUGUUUCUGCUGAAUGAAAAGCGAUUUUGACAAGAAUUUGGUGAAUUUUUCGACUUGAGCAAACCACUCUACCUGCAAAAGGUCGGUUAUUCCUGCCUCUGUCGACUCACUAGCAUUUCCUGCGAAGAGCAAAUAUCUAAGCUGACGGGGGAAGGUAAAAGAGCAUUGUACGGGCCAAUGCAUAGAUAGUCGUUACCUGAAGUUUGUUCGACAAACUCCAUCAUUUUGAGCACUCCAUCCUGAAAAGAUGAGUAUGAAUAGAUGAGCAACGGAUGAUCGAAUAAGGUGCAAGAGGUUGAGGGAGCUUACUCUUUUUAUUGUAUUAUGCUGCAAUAUGCACUGCAAUGAUUGGAGAACCGAGGCAGUUAAGGUACUAGGAUUUGUUGGGAAUGUGGAACCACCGGAAAUUGAGCUACAGUGGUUCACGGGAUCCUGGAUUUGAUAAGAAACACGAUGGUUACAAACGCCCUCGACUGAAAACAUAGCUAGGUUUAAACCAAGUUAUGUAUAAUUUCAAAGAUGUGCUCAGUUAUGUAUUUCUUUUGAGGGGCAUGUACUUUGUGUUAUAUUCUCCCUCUAUCCUACAAGAGUUACAUUUUUUUGUCAUU